GACGAACGCUGGCGGCGUGCCUAAUACAUGCAAGUCGAGCGGACAGAAGGGAGCUUGCUCCCGGAAGUUAGCGGCGGACGGGUGAGUAACACGUGGGCAACCUACCCUGUGGAUCGGGAUAACAUCGAGAAAUCGGUGCUAAUACCGGAUAAUCAUUUGAAGUGCAUGCUUCGAAUGUAAAAGAUGGCUCCGGCUAUCACUACGGGAUGGGCCCGCGGCGCAUUAGCUAGUUGGUAAGGUAAUGGCUUACCAAGACAACGAUGCGUAGCCGACCUGAGAGGGUGAUCGGCCACACUGGGACUGAGACACGGCCCAGACUCCUACGGGAGGCAGCAGUAGGGAAUCUUCCGCAAUGGACGAAAGUCUGACGGAGCAACGCCGCGUGAGUGAUGAAGGUUUUCGGAUCGUAAAGCUCUGUUGUUAGGGAAGAACAAGUGCCGUUUGAAUAAGGCGGCACCUUGACGGUACCUAACCAGAAAGCCACGGCUAACUACGUGCCAGCCGCCGCAGUAACAC
rnacentral:rRNA from 1 species